rnacentral:rRNA from 1 species
AAAUAACCACUGGAAACUGUGGCUAAAUAAGCAGAGAAUAAGAUGUAGGGAUAUCANCUAGUUGGCAGUGUAAAGGACUACCNAGGCAAUAACGUCUAACGGGAAAUUAGGGUUUUAUUCCNGANAGGGANCCUGANAGAUUGCUCCCACNUCCNANGACGGCAGCAGGCGCGAAAAUUGCCCACUCUUUGCAGGAGGCAGU